rnacentral:rRNA from 1 species
GACGUAGGGUGCGAGCGUUGUCCGGAUUUAUUGGGCGUAAAGAGCUCGUAGGCGGCUCGUUGCGUCGGCUGUGAAAACCCGCAGCUCAACUGUGGGCUUGCAGCCGAUACGGGCGGGCUGGAGUUCGGUAGGGGAGACUGGAAUUCCUGGUGUAGCGGUGAAAUGCGCAGAUAUCAGGAGGAACACCGGUGGCGAAGGCGGGUCUCUGGGCAGUAACUGACGCUGAGGAGCGAAAAGCGUGGGGGAGCGAACAGG